rnacentral:rRNA from 1 species
GGUGACCUCGAUCAGUAGAUGCA